UCUCUCCUUCAAAACUACGUCGUUUUAUACAUCAACUUAAAACAUAAAAAAAAAACCCUACUCUUUACAUUUAACUUCAGCCGCCUCACGCCCUCACCCUCAUUCUUUUCUUUUCUUCUCUACACAGACGCUCUGUUUCUCUGUUACUUGAUUCUCUGUUACUAUAAACUGAUUUUUUUAUUACUCGCACAAAUCGAUCAUCAACGACUAUAUUUUGUGAAACCAGUAGAUCUAGAGGAUUCGGAUUCGUCACCUUCAGCAACGAGAAGUCAAUGAGGGACGCGAUCGAAGGAAUGAACGGCCAGAACCUUGACGGCCGCAACAUCACAGUCAACGAGGCUUAGUCUCGCGAUAACGGAGGCGACGGUGGUGGCGGAGGCUACAGCCGUGGCGGAGGUGGUUACGGAGGCGACGGUGUUGUUACAUUUAUUUAUAGUUUUUUUAUUCAAUUAAUUAUGUUCUUUGAUCAA